ACCGGUCAGGGCUGGUUGACUUAUUUUAAUAGAACUUGGCUGCCUGCUGCUUCUCUGCCCCACCAGUCUGAGGCAGUGUGUCUACCCGGAGGUGUUUGGACCAUAUAUUUUUUUAGUUGAUAUAAAGGUGAAUUUAAUUACUUCCUGCAGCACAGAAGUAUGCUGAUUGUGACACAAACUCUACCUGGGGCAUUAAAACUGAAGACAGAGGGAGACUUGUGAAUUGCUCCUGUCUUCACUUGUCAGGAGAAAUCAAAUGUUAGAUAAUGCUCUUGUCAUAAAAAAUUAGAGGGAAGCUGAGGGAAUGGAAAGUUGGGAUGGGAAAUAAGGUCUAAAACAAGAGGCAUUUAUAUAUAAAGCCUCAUUUAUUUGACCAAAGCUUAAUAAAUACAUAGUUUAGCGCACAAACCCACUCUAAAUGAAAGGCAUUAGAGAAUUGUCAUCUAUAAAUGGUGAUACAUUCAAGGAUCACAUCUCUCAAAGGAAAAAUAUCCGAAAUGACAGGUUCUUUCCAGAAAACUUUCAACAGAAAAGAGAUGAUUGGUGCUAGGAUAGUGAUGCCCCACCAGUGAACUUUGCUUCCAGAAAUUUCUAGACUCUGGGUUUCUGUUUCCUCAUCUGCAAAAUGAGAGAUUAUUUUCUGAGUUACGUUACUCAAGUUUUUCUUUCUUACUCAUAGAAAGGUUCUAUAUUUUCUGUGAUUUCAGCAGAAUCAGGUGGCACAUAGUAACCCAGAUAGGUCAUUUUCAAAUUUCAUGAACUUGAGCCUUGUACAAAGCUAGUGAAUGUCAAAAUGAUGGAAAUACCUGUAGCUGUGUCUAGUCUCACAAACAUUUCUUGAAGUUAGACCCAGGGAUUAUUCGUUUUUUGUUUGAUAUAUACACUUUUUGCUUAGAGCUUUAAAAAUAUUUUGUGGUAGGAAGUUUUGUUCACUGAAAUUUGUGGAAGAAGAAUUUGUGCAUGUCUUUCUUAACUUUAUCAGCAGUAGGGAAGUUGAUAUGAUUUAAAAUAUUUUUGGUAUUACUUUGCACUUAUAUUGCAAUAUUGGGGGGGAUUCUGAAAUAUGAAUGAUGGAGAGACAUGUUAAAGAGUUUGUGCCCUGCAUGUUUAUAUAUUAAUAUUAGUAGAACUUAUAAAAUAAUAUUGAUAUGAGUGAGUCAUUGCAAUCUAGAUUUCUGGUCCUUGCUGGUGGUAAAAUAAUUGCUGAAAUGAGAAAAUAACUUUUUGAAGAAUUUAUAAAUCAAGGCAGUAACGUUUUGGUCAACAAAGCUUCAAUGGUUUCACAUACCAGCUUUAAUAAUUUUUUAAAAUGCAAAAUUCAUGUCUUAGAAGGUAAUUUGAUAGCUUUUGUUGGUCUUACAAAGCUAGAACAAGGCAAGGGUGUCUGGUCUCCUAACUCCUACUUAAUAUUGUACUGGAAGUCCUAGCCAGAACAGUAAGGCAAGAAAAAGAAAUAAUAUGCAUACAAAUUGGAA